rnacentral:lncRNA from 1 species
GUUUGUCACCGCCUGCCUCAACAGUUCGUUUUCGCUCGCUUGGGUCGUGAGGGGUUCCCUCAGAGAAAAGGAAUUCCUCCCCUUUGCGCCUCGAUUAAGAGCUCUUCUUUCCUCCAGCGUGUUCUGAAAAAGCCUCCAUGUUUCUCCUUGAGCCGAUGAAUUUGCAGUAUUCCGUCUGUGCGUGCCGUUCUCUCUCCCGGUUCCGAGGUGGCGGCAAUCGCCUCGGACAGUCUCUGAGUCUCCUCCUGGAGGCUUCUGAUGGCUGCGUCUUUUUCCUCCGUGGCUCGCCUUAAGGCUUCCACCUCUGCUGGCGGCCCUUUCGAAAGACUCGCCCGGCGCCUCGGACUUAAUUGCCUCCUGAGAGCCGGCCGCCUCGCAAGUCCGCGACGAUGCGGCGGGCGGCUGUGGUGACGUGAGGGCGGGUGGACCCAAGAGAACCUCCUUGGCAUUGCAGAGCUGCUCUAGGCCGAGCUGCAUCUGUGCCAGUCUCUUCCCCAAGAGCCGGAGUUGGGUCGCAUCCCCUCGAGGACGCGGGAACGGGGCGGCAGAGUGCAUCUGUCGCCGACACUUCUCCUCGCUGUCCACUGAGGCCCGUGCCUCGAGUGGUGGGAGUUCUUUCUGAAGUUGGGAUGACUCCCGCUGCAGAUGGUGCACCUCGGUGAGCACCAGCCGCUGCCACUCCUCCAGCACGUUGACCCGCUGCUUCAACGUGCCCCGUUCCCGGAGAAGCUCAUCCAACUGAUUCGCGUCCACGCCCCGAACCUCAUGGCCAGCGUCGGACGUUUGCCAGAUGGUCAGUAAAGUCUGACAUUUCUGGCUCAAGGCACCGAUUUCAAUGUCUUUGGCUCGGACGAGGCGUGAUAAGUGCCGGAUCGCUUCUCGAAACAUGUCCUCACCGCCGGCUGUCAGAUCGAGGGCGCCGUGUCUGACUUUCGCCUCGCAGCUUCGCGAGCUCUGCUUCUUUGGCCACCAGCAGAGGCUUGCAGUUGCUGCUGGAGGCCCCCCGCAUCCUGGACGGAGGCAGCCGAAGCUAGGCGAGCGGGAAGGCCCUGGCUCUGCCAGUCUUGCGGCUGGAUCGUCUGAGUUCGUGGCCCGGUCUCAUCGUCGUCCGGCUCAUCAAGCCGCUCGGUCAGAGGGAUCGUCUUUUCGGCCCCAAGUUUCAGCGCCUUCCUCUGCUUUUGCUCUUCAGUGGUCCUUGGAGGAUGCUGGGUUUCCUCCUCCAGGGAGGCGAGCCUCGUGUCUCCUUCCUCGAGGCUUUCCCGCAGAGUUGCGGUGUCUCUCCGAGCUGGAGUUGCCGGUCUCUCCUUCUCGGGUGGUCCGGUCGCCCGAACGGCUUCCGUCUCCGUUCUCCCCGAGUCGGGUAAGUCAAGGCAGCUUUUG